UUAACCUGCGUGAAGGAUCAUUG
rnacentral:rRNA from 1 species